AUUGAACGCUGGCGGCAUGCCUUACACAUGCAAGUCGAACGGCAGCACAGGCGCUUGCAUCUGGUGGCGAGUGGCGAACGGGUGAGUAACACAUCGGAACGUACCUUAUCGUGGGGGAUAACGCAGCGAAAGCUGUGCUAAUACCACAUACGCCGUGAGCGGGAAAGCGGGGGGUCGCAAGACCUCGCCAGAUUAGAGCGGCCGAUGCCUGAUUGGCUAGUUGGUGGGGUAAAACCCCACCAAGGCGACGAUCAGUAGCUGAUCUGAGAGGACAAUCAGCCACAGUGGGACUGAGACACGACCCAGGCUCCUACGGGAGGCAGCAGUGGUGAAUUUUGGACAAUGGGGGCAACCCUGAUCCAGCAAUGCCGCGUGAUUGAAGAAGGCCUUCGGGUUGUAAAGCUCUUUUGUCAGGGAAGAAACACCGGCUCUAACACAGUCCGGGAAUGACGGUACCUGAAGAAUAAGCACCGGUUAACUACGUGCCAGCCGCCGCCGUAA
rnacentral:rRNA from 1 species